UACGAAGGUGGCAAGCGUUGUUCGGAUUUACUGGGCGUACAGGGAGCGUAGGCGGCCAACUAAGUCAGACGUGAAAUCCCUCGGCUUAACCGGGGAACUGCGUCUGAUACUGGAUGGCUAGAGGUUGGGGAGAGGGAUGCGGAAUUCCAGGUGUAGCGGCGAAAUGCGUAGAUAUCUGGAGGAACACCGGUGGCGAAGGCGGCAUCCUGGACCAAUUCUGACGCUGAGGAGCGAAAGCCAGGGGAGCAAACGGG
rnacentral:rRNA from 1 species